AACGCGAAGAACCUUACCAGGGCUUGACAUCUGUAGAAUUUUCUGGAAACAGAGAAGUGCUCGCAAGAGAGCUACAAGACAGGUGCUGCAUGGCUGUCGUCAGCUCGUGCCGUGAGGUGUUGGGUUAAGUCCCGCAACGAGCGCAACCCUUACUCGUAGUUGCUACCCGCAAGGGAGAACUCUACGAGGACUGCUCCGGAUAACGGAGAGGAAGGUGGGGAUGACGUCAAGUCAGCACGGCCUUUAUGUCCAGGGCUACACACGUGUUACAAUGCACGGUACAGACUGUUGCGAACCCGCGAGGGGGAGCUAAUCGGAUAAAACCGUGCUCAGUUCGGAUUGCAGUCUGCAACUCGGCUGCAUGAAGCUGGAAUCGCUAGUAAUGGCGUAUCAGAUCGACGCCGUGAAUACGUUCCCGGGCCUUGUACACACCGAGUAUA
rnacentral:rRNA from 1 species